rnacentral:rRNA from 1 species
CCUACGGGAGGCAGCAGUGAGGAAUAUUGGUCAAUGGACGGAAGUCUGAACCAGCCAUGCCGCGUGCAGGAUGACGGCUCUAUGAGUUGUAAACUGCUUUUGUACGAGAAUAAUAGUUCUUACGUGUAGGGCUUUGCAUGUACCGUAUGAAUAAGGACCGGCUAAUUCCGUGCCAGCAGCCGCGGUAAUACGGCAGGUCCGGGCGUGAUCCGGCUUUAGUGGGUUUAAAGGGAGCGUAGGCCGCAUGUCAAGCGUGCUGUGAAAUGUCCGGGCUCAACCCGGGCCUUGCAGCGCGAACUGGCGUGCUUGAGUCCGCGGAAAGCAGGCGGAAUUCGUCGUGUAGCGGUGAAAUGCUUAGAUAUGACGAAGAACCCCGAUUGCGAAGGCAGCUUGCUGCAGCGGAACUGACGCUGAUGCUCGAAAGCGCGGGUAUCGAACAGGAUUAGAUACCCGGGUAGUC